rnacentral:rRNA from 1 species
AGAGUUUGAUCCUGGCUCAGAUUGAACGCUGGCGGCAUGCCUUACACAUGCAAGUCGAACGGUAACAGAGAGCUUGCUCCUGGUGGCGAGUGGCGAACGGGUGAGUAAUACAUCGGAACGUACCCUGAAGUGGGGGAUAACGUAGCGAAAGUUACGCUAAUACCGCAUAUUCUGUGAGCAGGAAAGAGGGGGGAUCGCAAGACCUCUUGCUUUAGGAGCGGCCGAUGUCGGAUUAGCUAGUUGGUGAGGUAAAGGCUCACCAAGGCGACGAUCCGUAGCGGGUCUGAGAGGAUGAUCCGCCACACUGGGACUGAGACACGGCCCAGACUCCUACGGGAGGCAGCAGUGGGGAAUUUUGGACAAUGGGCGCAAGCCUGAUCCAGCCAUGCCGCGUGAGUGAAGAAGGCCUUCGGGUUGUAAAGCUCUUUCGGUGGGGAAGAAAUUGCUUCGGUUAAUACCUGGAGUAGAUGACGGUACCCGCAUAAGAAGCACCGGCUAACUACGUG